ACCCUCGGGUGGACAGGGAGACAGGUGGUGCAUGGUUGUCGUCAGCUCGUGUCGUGAGAUGUUGGGUUAAGUCCCGCAACGAGCGCAACCCCUACGUUUAGUUGCUAACGCGUGAAGGCGAGCACUCUAGACGAACUGCCGUUGACAAAACGGAGGAAGGUGGGGAUGACGUCAAAUCAUCAUGCCCCUUAUGUUCUGGGCUACACACGUGCUACAAUGGCCGGUACAGACGGACGCAAAGCCGCGAGGCGGAGCAAAUCCGAAAAAGCCGGUCUCAGUUCGGAUUGCAGGCUGCAAUUCGCCUGCAUGAAGUCGGAAUCGCUAGUAAUCGCAGGUCAGCAUACUGCGGUGAAUACGUUCCCGGGCCUU
rnacentral:rRNA from 1 species